rnacentral:lncRNA from 1 species
CUGCUUGUCCUUAUUCAAGAUUGGACGACUCCCUUCAUUUUCUCGUUUGAAAUUGGUACUCGUUCUUAGCUAGAAACCUUAUCCUCCAUUUCGAAUUUGAAUUUGUUGAAAUUUCAUCCCGAAUUUCUCCCCUAUUUUCUUCCCUAAUUUAAUUCUAUAAAUACCUUCAUCUUUCUCUUUGUGAAAAAGGGAAAAAAUGAGAGUGAGAGGGUUACAAAAAUGGGAAAAAGUGAAGAAAACUAUUAGUCAUAUACAUUUAUAUAUGAAUACUUAGGAAAGAGGUUUCAAAAUAUAUUGAAAAAACAAAUUUUACUCCCUCUGUUUACUGGUUCAUUUCUGUUUUCAUUAUCGAACUUCUCAGAGUUACGUUUUGGUGGUGGAAGCUUGCUGUCUGUAAUCAUUCAGUCUCGGUUCAGUUGCCCAGAAAAAGGUAAAAGUUCCUUCUUCAUUUACGUUAAUUUUUAUGUUAUGUGUUGAACUUAUCUCAGUUAUAAAAUCCAAUUAUUUAAAUGUGCAUUUAUUUUUCCUUACACAGUGAAGUCAUUUAGCUUAAUCAUGCUUAAUAUGCUAGUUCAGUGGUCUCUCUUUUGUUACUUUAAUGAAGUUGAAGCAUUGUUCCUUUACAACUGUAACAUAUCAGUGGAUUAGGAUGUUCAAGUGGUCCAUUUUAAUAGUCUUAUGAUGUAUUCAUGUAUAUCUUCUAUGUGAAUAUAUUUAUAUCAUGUGUUAUGGCUAUCAUUUUACUUUUAUAUAGUAUGUAGAUUGUAGAACAUACUCAAGCAUUCUUAAAAUCAUUAAUUGCCAUAUUCUGCUAUGAAAUCUUUUUUUAUGCUAUGAGUGUAGUCUUCAAAUCAAAGUUUGUAAUGUGGGUUUUUCAUUUUUCUUAUGUGUUCUACUAUCUAAAAUGAUGAAAAUAAAUGUUUUAUAUUUUAAACAAGUUGCUUAGUAGACUAAAGGGUUGGCUUUGUUAAUGAUAAUUUUAGUGUUACUUCUUGUUUAUUUUGAGAUCCUUCAUUGCUCUUAAUACUAUUUAGUUAUGCUACUUGAUUGUUUAGACUACAUCUUUGCUAGACUUUGACGAAAUUGAGCUUCGCUAAUUUGUUUAUUUCGUUUUUGUUGCAUGUGGUACCACCCGAGUCCUCUUGGACUACAAUCUUCUUCCCUCAUAUUUCGGAUGGGCCAUAAAGGCCCCAAAUCCCCUUUUUCCUUCGACUCAGCCCCCUCGACAAGCUGCAAAAUUGAUGUACAAGUUGAGGUAGAUAAAUAUAGGCUGGAAAUUAUUUUUGAAGGUCUCAAAAAAGCCCAAAAUAAGGUAGUAUACAUGAAGUAUAUAGGUCUGAACUGACAAAACAGGUGUUGGAAGUCUGAAAUGGGAAGCGUACAUUCAACAUACAUCCCAAUAUACAUGAAAAUGAGUCAAAACACAUAUCGUGUACAUCCAUAUACGUUUUUUGUGUACACAGAUUUUAAGUGUGGAAAAAAAGGAAUAUAGGCCAAAAAUCCAAGGAAAUUUCCAGCAAAUCCAUUAGCAGGAAUUUGGGGCAAAGGCCCAAAAUUGACAUCUCCCUCUUUCCUCCCUAUUUACUUUUUAUUAUAAUGACUAAUAUUACUUGAUUGAUUUUGGUUAAUUUAAUUUGAUUUCCAAGAUAUAUAUUUUUCUUUAUAUUCAAAAACACAAAUUUUAAUUUUUUUUGUUGCUUCUUUUUUUAUUUUAAUUUGUCCUGUCAAUACUUAUGAAUUAUUUUCGCUAUUUAUUUUCCACUCAACAUAAUAGAAUAACAAAUUAAGUAAAAUAAAUAAAAAAGUUUGAAUUUACAUAACUAAGUAAAAAUUUGAAAAUCAUUGAAAAGUCAUUUUUAGUCAAAUCAUCGGUCAACCGCGAGUUAGCGGGCAUUCCGAGGGCCUAACACCUUCUCGGAAUGUAUAUUGGAAUUUGAACCAUCUUUCAAUCGAUUUUUAUCUAUUUUAAAUCUUUUUAAAAAUAUUUGUAAGUUUUCUUAAGUUUUACUAAAAAAUCAAUUGGCGACUCUAUUAAUUUAGAAUGUCGAUUUUUCUUAAAUCAUAAGAUUAAUUAAUGUUUGGAAACUUAGUCAGUUUUUCAUUUCUACUAUCACAUAUUUUAAGUAAAACAGUCAUUCAUAGAUAGGAUGACCAAGUCAGCCCACUUUAUUCCUAUCAAAGCUUUAUAUUCGGUGGAAGACUAUUCCAAGAUAUAUAUUAAGGAGAUAUUGAGGAUGCAUGGGUUUCCCUUGUCCAAAAUUUCAGAUAGCGGUACUCAAUUAAGUUCUUACUUUUGAGAGGCUUUCAAAAAUGGGCUUGGUACUAAAGUGAAACUUAGUACCGCAUUUUAUCCCCAAACGGAUGGUCAAGCGGAAUGUAUUAUCCAAACCCUAGAAGACAUGCUGAGGGCAAGUGUUAUUGACUUCAAGAAUAAUUGGGACGAUCAUCUACCGUUGAUAGAUUUUGCAUACAAUAAUAACUACCACUCAAGUAAUUCCAUGGCUCCAUUUGAAGCACUUUAUGGGAGAAGAUGUAGGUCUUUGAUUGGGUGGUUUGAAGUAGGUGAGUUUGCACUUACAGGUCCCAAAAUAUUUUACGAGGUCGUUAAGAAAGUCUGACUUAUUAGAGAUAGGUUGAAGACGACCCAAUGUCAGCAAAAGUCUUAUGCCCAUAAUAAAAGGAGGGAUCUUGAAUUUGAGGUAGGUGAUUGAGUCUACUUGAAGAUUUCACCCAUAAAAAGGGUAAUGAGGUUUAGCAAAAAGGGGAAACUUAGUCCCUCGUAUGUAGUCCCAUAUGAGUUGGCUCCGUUUCACCAGGAAUUUCAUGUUCCCAUGCUCAAUAAAUGCAUAGGUUAUCCAGUGUCUAUCCUUCCUUCAGAAGGAUUAGGAGUUGAUGAGAACCUUACUUAUGAAAAGGUUCUGGUUGAGAUUUCAAACCGGCAAGUAAAGAGAUUGAGGAAUGAAGAGGUAGCUUCCGAAAAGGUUUUUUGGAGGAACCAUCUAGCUGAGAAUGCUACAUGGGAGGCUGAAGCCGACAUGAUGUCCCCUUAUCCUCAUCUUUUCCAUCAUAUUUCUAUUCAAACUUGAGGUAAGUAGUUUCUCUUGAGUUUUUAGUGAAUUGGGAGUUAUCUGUAUUAUAUGAGUAUUUGUUAUGAUUGUAUUUAUGUGGUGCGGGUCCAUGUGAAGAAACAUGUAUAGCAUAACUUGAGUUUCUUAUGAAUUAUAUGUCCUUCAUGUUAAAUUUCUUAAUUAACAUGAAAAUUUCAUAUUUUACUUAUGAUGUGAAUCUAUGAAUAUGCUUAAUUGUGAAGUGGAAUUUUGAAUCCAUAUUGUGGUAUCCUCCUAUUAACAUGAUAUAUGAUGUAUGGUAUGCAAGUUGAGUCGGUAGAUGUAGUUCCUACUUUCUUAUAUCCUUCGACAUGUCCAAAGUUGGAGUUGGAAUUUUCUCCUCCGAAUAAGUGCUUAUAAUGAAUUUUGCAAUUUUAUGUAUAUAUGCUGGUUAGGCUAUUGAUCUAGAGUUUCUAACUUGGUUUGGUGUCUUGGUUGACAUUCGGGGUUAAAUGUUCCCAAGGGGUAGAUAAUGUAAUACCCUAGAAAUCUAAUUACCUAAGAUAGAGCAUCAUAUGAUGUCUAAGAAAUUUAAAAGGAUUAAAAUUAUGUUAUAAGACCUAAUCUAAUGUAACUAACCUAAUAUUAAAGUGUUAGAUAAUCGUCAAGAAACGACCAUGACGUUCGGAAACUUGUAAAUUCGACUAGUGUGGUCUUAGGUUUUGUAUUGAGGUUUGAAAUGUCUUAUGUGGACUAAAUCUUGUAGAAAUAUAUUUUUAGGGUCCAAAAAUCCAGGUAUGACCCUCAAGGACCAGCCUAGGGGCCUUUUGGAAGAACCCAAACAUGGACCCAAAGCUGUCAAAAAUAGCACCUCCUACGAAGCCCAAUAUAUGGCCAGUAUACUGGUCUAAGGACUGUAAAUCUUGGUUGAAGAUGGGGACUUAUCUUGGGGUGCUUAACAGAAAAAAGGGGAGUAUUUGAUGGAAACAACGAGACUACAGUACGAGGCCAUAACUCCACCUACAAUUCUUAGAUGGGUUGCCGUAGUUGCUGCCAGGUUUAAGUUAAUUUCGGAAUUUGUUAAGGGUCUUGUUUUAGUUAGUUAUUUAAUUAGGGGUUAAUGGUUUGUGGUUAGUUAACUAAUUACCUUUUUAAAACCACCUAUAAGACCCUAACACCAAGACUUUAAGUCAUUACAACUCAACUCACAAACUCAACACAACACUCAACUUCCCUCUCAAAACUCUCGUAAAGAACAUCAAAGAACUACAUUGAAGAAGAAGACUAAGGUUAAAAUAGGGCAAAAAGAACUUGAAUUUUCUCCAUAAAUUCUCAAGGAAUCUAUUAAGGUAUGGAAGCUCUUCACUCUUGGGAUCUUUUCUCCAAUAGGCUCUCUCAAAAUUGGAUUUCAAAGUUCCCCAAAUUCUAGGUUCACUUAAUUUCGUGGGUCUCUUUCUAAACUUGUUUCCAUUGAUAUAAAUUGAUUAUUGAUGAUUAUAUAUGAAGUUUUAUGGAUGAACACGAUUAAUAUUUGUGGUGUUUGAAAAAAUCCCCAAAGACCCAUGAAUCUCCCUUCUUUCUCAACUUUAAAACCUUAGUAUGCUUUGAUUAAUGAAUGAAGGAUGAGAAUCUAGUAUGUUUACAUGUAAUUCUAUAUUGUUUUAUGAUGUUACCCUAUACUAUGAAUGAAUGUCAUGAAUUUAGGGUUGAAUCUUGAAGAAAUCCUUGAAGUCUAUCAAUGAAGGUUAUCAAUUGAUUAUUGCUUAAUGUUGACUUGCUGAUCAACUUAUGGUGGAGGUGUUUACAUGAUCUAUAGUCUUAUAUUGCAUUUUUGAUCCACUUAUAAUGUAGGUGCUUACUUGAAUUAUGAAUUUUGGUGUUGAGUGUUGUUCCUCUUCCCUACAACCCUAGUUAUGAACAAGUAUUCUAUGAUAUGAUAUGAACAUGAAUGUUAUGCUGUGCUAUGAUAUGAAUAUGAAUGUUAUGCUAAGAUGUGAACAUGAAUGUUAUGCUAAGAUGUGAACAUGAAUGUUGUGAUACGAGUAUGGGUGUGUUGUUAUGAUAAAUAAGAGGAAAUUCUCAUUAACACUAUAUGACAAUGAUAUGAAAGAAACAUUGUCACUUCAUAUUGGUUCUAUGAUGAAAAACUAUUCUUAUCUUGAAACGCUUGAGCUCUAUGAUAUAUAAGAGAUUAAAUCCCUAAGGUAUUCUUUAUGAACCAAUCCUUUAGUAAAGAAUAAUUGUUACUUAAAAGGGGAAUUUUUGCUUAGCACCAAGUGGAUAUGCAAGUGAGAUGGGUUCCUUCACAAAGGAAGGGAGGUUCCCACUAUGAUGUCUCAUGAUAUGGAAACCCGCAUGGUAGUAAGUAUAAGGUUUCUAGUAGAAUCUUCAUAUCCCAUAACUAUGUACCCACAUAAGACUAUUAGCUAGUAUAUCCACCUAGAUGCUAUAAUUGCUGAUUAUCAUAGAUGGUCGAUAUACUUUUAUAAUCUCUGAUCAUUAACCAAAUCCAUACCAUUAUUGUAAAAAGACAAUAAUGACUGUGGAUUAAGGUUGAUUGAUUCCUAAGUUGGAACCUUAGGCGCCCCCCUCCCCCGAAUCCGAUUUAUUUGGAUCAAUAGGGAGAGUAGAUUAUGAUGAAUUUUUACGACGUUAGCAUUAAAGAAAAUUACAACAUUAUUAUGAAAAUAGUAAUUCAUUUUUUAGUGCGGUCGAAAGAACACAAAAAUUCUCUUGGAGGGGGGGGGUACCUUGGCAAGUAAGACAGUCUUUUCGAUGUGGGAGGUAGACAUCGGAUUCCAUGCAGCUCGCAUGGUCUUUGGGGGUAUGGGACUUUACCUAUGCAUUGCAUACGUGGGUUUUGAUGUACCGUGGUUUGACGGUACUUUCAAUGCUUUUUUCUUAAGUUUAGUGUGUGUCUAAAGCCUUUUUGUAGUAAUUCUAAUGUAUUUUUAUCUGUGUUUGCAGGAAAACUGUCCAAAACAGAAACGCAUAUGACUGUGCUAACAUCAGUGCAGAAGUGAUGACCUAUGGAACCAUCGACGGCGCAUUGACCCAUCGACGUUCGUAAGUGGUGAUCGUCGACUGAAGGUUUAUGCUACUGAAAUCAAAUCGAUAGAAUUCUGACUAAGUAUGGGUCUACAGAAGGAUCGACGAUCCGUAAGUCCACCAUGUUGUUGGUCCGUCGAUUGUAACAGAAAGGAUGCAAAGUGGAGGCUGAAAAAAAUUCUAAGUGUGGACCGACGGAGGUAGUGAUGGACCGUCAGUUGGGUCGUCGACUGAAGAUGCAUUUUAGACAGAUAUUUUCAUAUUUAGAACUCCUUUUAAUUUAGGACUUUAUUAUUAUAAAUAGGACUAAAAACCUCGUUUUUGGGGUUAGAAUUUUUAUUAUUUUUCAUACUCUUGAUAUUGGAAGUUGAAUUUUGGAUUUUGG